UGAAUGCCUCAGCUCCCAGCCUUGAUGUGUUCUGCGGGAACUACAGGGCCUCCAUCGCACACUGCAGGACUGGACCAAAGUUUCCCUCGCAACUUCCCACAGAUUGGGUGGCAGUUCUCAAAGAAUACACCUGAUCUUACCAUACCUGAUGUAAGACAAUGAUGCUACUGAGAUACAUGACAACAUGCACCUGCUUCUGAGGAGCUCAUAAUGCAGCCUGCAGCACAGAGUGUGUGGAAAACCUUUCUUCUGCAGUAUGACAUUAUCCAAGUUUAUUACAGAGGCAUCCUCUCAUGAAUGUUAUGGAAAGUAUAACUAGAGAUACGUAGG